UAACAUUGAAAUUCAAAAGCAAAUACAGAAAGUUGGGUUUUACUCGCCUCUGAUAUGAAAUGGAUCCUUGAAUUUGAGGGAUUGAAUUUACGGUAAUAAAAGAUCGAUCCUUGAAAUUGUGAGCCAAUGGGUGCUUGUAGAUAAUAAAUAAAGGGAGAAAAAUUGUGGGUAGGAUUUAAUUAACUCUGAUCUGGGAAAUUGAGCUUGAUGUCCUAGGAUUGGAUUUUUAAUAAGGAAAGAUUGGAUCUUGAAUUUCCCAGUUCAGGAAAAAAGAAAAGGUGAGGUUUUAACUAAAGAAUAUGAAACAGAAGAAUCUUAAAUCCAAGAGAAGCAAAGAGGGAUGAAGAGAUCAAAAUCUCAAAUAGAAUUUGUUAAUGCUCUGUGUUUCAAAUAGAAUUUGUAUAAGGCUUCAUUUCAUUUUCACACACUG
rnacentral:lncRNA from 1 species